UACGUAGGGUGCGAGCGUUAAUCGGAAUUACUGGGCGUAAAGCGUGCGCAGGCGGUUCGUUAAGUCAGAUGUGAAAGCCCCGGGCUCAACCUGGGAACUGCAUUUGAAACUGGCGGGCUUGAGUGUGGCAGAGGGGGGUGGAAUUCCGCGUGUAGCAGUGAAAUGCGUAGAUAUCGGGAGGAACACCUGUGGCGAAAGCGGCGCACUGGACCACAACUGACGCUGAGGCGCGAAAGCUAGGGGAGCAAACAGG
rnacentral:rRNA from 1 species